UUAGCAAGCCUCAUUUGCAGGUGUGACUGCUUACUUUAAUGUGCUGCAGGUUGUGAUCAAUGUCUAAAAUAGCAAAUGGGUACUGGCUCAUAAAAAAAAAAAAAAAUCAAAAAAAGCUUUCGUCUGAGAGUGUCAUUUUCAAAUGCAGAUAAAACCAAAGCUGUUAAAAGAUUUCAGACCAGAUUCAGGGAUGUUUUACAAACAUGCAUCCAAAGAACUGCUGCCAAAGAAGGAAUGAAAUGCGUCCCUAUGGCCUGAGGCAGAGUAUUAGAUGUCCUAAGAAAUAUGGGGAGACUGUUAAAGAGAGGAAGUACAUGGUUGCUCCACCAUGCCAUUUGGACUUUGUGUGCGAGCAGAAUGAAGUGGACCCCCAGAAGCCCUGGAUGACCGGUAUAAAAGAAACACUGCUGUUCCUCCAGAUCUCAAACCGCCCCACAGGGACACAGUUCUCACUAAUGAAGACAGGACCUCGACUAGUCAGCCUGCAGGACCUCUGUUGAUCCACGGCUUCACAGUUCCAGAGUACCAGCAGACAUAUCAUUCUGUGGUGGAUCCCCUGCUCGUUAGUCCUGCGGAAAGCUCACAGCAUACAGUGUGGAGCUGGGCCGCAACAUUAAGGAACAUCUGUUUAAAGAGCUGGCAUACCCAACGCUUCAGAUUUCAGAACAGACCGAUGGGAAGGUGGAGGUGCUGGAGAGGUUUUGUGUGCUCCGGGCUACACCUUUCAUUAAUAUAGACAGUAAGGGGGGCCCACAGUGAUGUUCCCCAACAGACUCUCUUUCAAUGACAUGAGCCUGAUUUUUGUUUCUGUGUCUUGAUGCUUAAUUUAAUUUGUGUUGUCUUUCUUGAAAUGUAAUGUAGCUGAAGUUAUAUUUCAUUCUUUCAAACAAAAAAAAAAGAUUCCAAAGGUUUCAAUCAAUUCUCUUCAAGUAAACUAUAAAAGCAAAAUUAUGUGAGUAAUGACUUUUAAAUAAGGGUGUGUAUCUAAGGUCCUCAGUACAAUAAAAUUAUUUAAAAGACAAGCGACCACUUAAGUCAUUUAGACAAAUGUGAAUCUUUUUUAUGUAUUCUCAUCAGCCGUUUGACAAAGCAUGGGUUGUUGCAACAGGGGCAAAGCUGAGCGUUCCACACUUGUAUAAAAUAUUCAGAAGUAAAUAUUGUAGAACUCUUGAUUUACACAGUAUUGUCAUCAAUGUGAUAUUCUUGUUUCAAAGCUUCAACAUUGUCAUGACCUGAUAUCAACUUUGUUUAAAGGACAAGUCUAAAUACAAUCUCAGGUAAAUAAAAAAAAAAAACAAUGUAAAA